CCUACGGGUGGCAGCAGUGGGGAAUUUUGCGCAAUGGGCGAAAGCCUGACGCAGCAACGCCGCGUGGAGGAUGAAGGUCUUUGGAUUGUAAACUCCUGUCAGCGGGGAAAAAGCGACUCGACCUAACACGUCGGGAAGUUGAUUGUACCCGCAGAGGAAGCCCCGGCUAACUCUGUGCCAGCAGCCGCGGUAAUACAGAGGGGGCAAGCGUUAUUCGGAAUUAUUGGGCGUAAAGGGCGCGUAGGCGGCUUAGCAAGUGGUAGGUGAAAUCCCUCGGCUCAACUGAGGAACUGCCUUCCAAACUGCUUUGCUUGAGUCCGGGAGAGGUGAGUGGAAUUCCCAGUGUAGCGGUGAAAUGCGUAGAUAUUGGGAGGAACACCAGUGGCGAAGGCGGCUCACUGGACCGGAACUGACGCUGAGGCGCGAAAGCGUGGGGAGCA
rnacentral:rRNA from 1 species